rnacentral:rRNA from 1 species
UACAGAGGGGGCAAGCGUUAUUCGGAAUUAUUGGGCGUAAAGAGCUCGUAGGCGGUUCGGUAAGUCGAAUGUGAAAUCUCCACGCUCAACGUGGAGGGGUCAUUCGAAACUGCCGUGACUUGAGUACGGUAGGGGAGUGUGGAAUUCCCGGUGUAGCGGUGAAAUGCGCAGAGAUCGGGAGGAACACCCGUAGCGAAGGCGGCACUCUGGGCCGAUACUGACGCUGAGGAGCGAAAGCGUGGGGAGCAAACAGG